rnacentral:rRNA from 1 species
GAUCAUGACUCAGGAUGAACGCUGGCGGCACGCCUAACACAUGCAAGUCGAACGGAGAAUAUUGGAUUUAUUCGAUAUUCUUAGUGGCGGACGGGUGAGUAACACGUGAGCAACCUACCUCUGAGAGAGGGAUAGCUUCUGGAAACGGAUGGUAAUACCUCAUAACAUAAUUGGAAGGCAUCUUUUGAUUAUCAAAGAUUUAUCACUCAGAGAUGGGCUCGCGUCUGAUUAGCUAGAUGGUGAGGUAACGGCUCACCAUGGCGACGAUCAGUAGCCGGACUGAGAGGUUGAACGGCCACAUUGGGACUGAGACACGGCCCAGACUCCUACGGGAGGCAGCAGUGGGGAAUAUUGCACAAUGGGGGAAACCCUGAUGCAGCGAUGCCGCGUGGAGGAAGAAGGUUUUCGGAUUGUAAACUCCUGUCCUAAGGGACGAUAAUGACGGUACCUUAGGAGGAAGCUCCGGCUAACUAUGUG